AUACAGAGGGGGCAAGCGUUAUUCGGAAUUAUUGGGCGUAAAGGGCGCGUAGGCGGCCUGGCAAGUGGAAGGUGAAAUCCCUCGGCUUAACCGAGGAACUGCCUCCCAAACUGCUUGGCUUGAGACCGGGAGAGGUGAGUGGAAUUCCCAGUGUAGCGGUGAAAUGCGUAGAUAUUGGGAGGAACACCAGUGGCGAAGGCGGCUCACUGGACCGGUACUGACGCUGAGGCGCGAAAGCGUGGGGAGCAAACGG
rnacentral:rRNA from 1 species